UGGAUCGCCCUUAGAGUUUGAUCCUGGCUCAGAUUGAACGCUAGCGGGAUGCCUUACACAUGCAAGUCGAACGGCAGCGGGAAGAAAGCUUGCUUUCUUUGCCGGCGAGUGGCGAACGGGUGAGUAAUGUAUCGGAACGUGCCCAGUAGCGGGGGAUAACUGGCCGAAAGGUCAGCUAAUACCGCAUACGCCCUACGGGGGAAAGGGGGGGAUUCUUCGGAACCUCUCACUAUUGGAGCGGCCGAUAUCGGAUUAGCUAGUUGGUGGGGUAAUGGCCUACCAAGGCGACGAUCCGUAGCUGGUUUGAGAGGACGACCAGCCACACUGGGACUGAGACACGGCCCAGACUCCUACGGGAGGCAGCAGUGGGGAAUUUUGGACAAUGGGGGAAACCCUGAUCCAGCCAUCCCGCGUGUGCGAUGAAGGCCUUCGGGUUGUAAAGCACUUUUGUCAGGGAAGAAAAGGUUCUGGCUAAUACCCGGAACUGAUGACGGUACCUGAAGAAUAAGCACCGGCUAACUACGUGCCAGCAGCCGCGGUAAUACGUAGGGUGCAAGCGUUAAUCGGAAUUACUGGGCGUAAAGCGUGCGCAGGCGGUUCGGAAAGAAGGAUGUGAAAUCCCAGGGCUCAACCUUGGAACUGCAUUCUUAACUACCGAACUAGAGUAUGUCAGAGGGGGGUAGAAUUCCGCGUGUAGCAGUGAAAUGCGUAGAUAUGCGGAGGAAUACCGAUGGCGAAGGCAGCCCCCUGGGAUAAUACUGACGCUCAUGCACGAAAGCGUGGGUAGCAAACAGGAUUAGAUACCCUGGUAGUCCACGCCCUAAACGAUGUCAACUAGCUGUUGGGCCCUUCGGGGCUUAGUAGCGUAGCUAACGCGUGAAGUUGACCGCCUGGGGAGUACGGUCGCAAGAUUAAAACUCAA
rnacentral:rRNA from 1 species